rnacentral:rRNA from 1 species
GAUGAACGCUGGCGGCGUGCCUAAUACAUGCAAGUCGAGCGAACGGACGAGAAGCUUGCUUCUCUGAUGUUAGCGGCGGACGGGUGAGUAACACGUGGAUAACCUACCUAUAAGACUGGGAUAACUUCGGGAAACCGUAGCUAAUACCGGAUAAUAUUUUGAACCGCAUGGUUCAAAAGUGAAAGACGGUCUUGCUGUCACUUAUAGAUGGAUCCGCGCUGCAUUAGCUAGUUGGUAAGGUAACGGCUUACCAAGGCAACGAUGCAUAGCCGACCUGAGAGGGUGAUCGGCCACACUGGAACUGAGACACGGUCCAGACUCCUACGGGAGGCAGCAGUAGGGAAUCUUCCGCAAUGGGCGAAAGCCUGGCGGAGCAACGCCGCGUGAGUGAUGAAGGUCUUCGGAUCGUAAAACUCUGUUAUUAGGGAAGAACAUAUGUGUAAGUAACUGUGCACAUCUUGACGGUACCUAAUCAGAAAGCCACGGCUAACUACGUGCCAGCAGCCGCGGUAAUACGUAGGUGGCAAGCGUUAUCCGGAAUUAUUGGGCGUAAAGCGCGCGUAGGCGGUUUUUUAAGUCUGAUGUGAAAGCCCACGGCUCAACCGUGGAGGGUCAUUGGAAACUGGAAAACUUGUGUGCAGAAGAGGAAAAGUGGAAUUUCAUGUGUAGCGGUGAAAAUGCGCAGAGAUAUGGAGGAAAUACCAGUGGCGAAGGGGACUUUUCUGGGUCUGUAACUGGAACUGAUGUGCGAAAACG